UGCGAGGGCAUAUUAGCCCUCGCUUUUCUCGACUCUAAGGUGGUCGACGAAUAAGAGCUGGGCAAGACCGGUGCCAACCGCCGCGGUAAUACCGGCAGCACAAGUGAUGGCCGAUCUUAUUGGGCCUAAAGCGUCCGUAGCCGGCCGAGCGGGUCCGUCGGGAAAUCCGCGUGCUCAACGCGCGGGCGUCCGGCGGAAACCACUCGGCUUGGGGCCGGAGGACUCGAGGGGUACGUCCGGGGUAGGAGUGAAAUCCCGUAAUCCUGGACGGACCGCCGAUGGCGAAAGCACCUCGAGAGGACGGACCCGACGGUGAGGGACGAAAGCCAGGGUCUCGAACCGGAUUAGAUACCCGGGUAGUCCUGGCCGUAAACAAUGCUCGCUAGGUAUGUCACGCGCCAUGAGCACGUGAUGUGCCGUAGUGAAGACGAUAAGCGAGCCGCCUGGGAAGUACGUCCGCAAGGAUGAAACUUAAAGGAAUUGGCGGGGGAGCACCACAACCGGAGGAGCCUGCGGUUUAAUUGGACUCAACGCCGGACAUCUCACCGGUCCCGACAGUAGUAAUGACAGUCAGGUUGACGACUUUACUCGACGCUACUGAGAGGAGGUGCAUGGCCGCCGUCAGCUCGUACCGUGAGGCGUCCUGUUAAGUCAGGCAACGAGCGAGACCCGCACUUCUAGUUGCCAGCAACACCCUUGUGGUGGUUGGGUACACUAGGAGGACUGCCAUUGCUAAAAUGGAGGAAGGAACGGGCAACGGUAGGUCAGUAUGCCCCGAAUGGACCGGGCAACACGCGGGCUACAAUGGCUCUGACAGUGGGAUGCAACGCCGAGAGGCGGAGCUAAUCUCCAAACGGAGUCGUAGUUCGGAUUGCGGGCUGAAACCCGCCCGCAUGAAGCUGGAUUCGGUAGUAAUCGCG
rnacentral:rRNA from 1 species